GAUGAACGCUAGCGACAGGCUUAACACAUGCAAGUCGAGGGGCAGCACAGGUAGCAAUACCGGGUGGCGACCGGCGCACGGGUGAGUAACGCGUAUACAACUUACCUAUCAGAGGGGGAUAACCCGGCGAAAGUCGGACUAAUACCGCAUGAAGCAGGGGCCCCGCAUGGGGAUAUUUGCUAAAGAUUCAUCGCUGAUAGAUAGGCAUGCGUUCCAUUAGGCAGUUGGCGGGGUAACGGCCCACCAAACCGACGAUGGAUAGGGGUUCUGAGAGGAAGGUCCCCCACGUUGGUACUGAGACACGGACCAAACUCCUACGGGAGGCAGCAGUGAGGAAUAUUGGUCAAUGGCCGAGAGGCUGAACCAGCCAAGUCGCGUGAGGGAUGAAGGUUCUAUGGAUCGUAAACCUCUUUUAUAAGGGAAUAAAGUGCGGGACGUGUCCCGUUUUGUAUGUACCUUAUGAAUAAGGAUCGGCUAACUCCGUGCCAGCAGCCGCGGUAAUACGGAGGAUCCGAGCGUUAUCCGGAUUUAUUGGGUUUAAAGGGUGCGUAGGCGGCCUUUUAAGUCAGCGGUGAAAGUCUGUGGCUCAACCAUAGAAUUGCCGUUGAAACUGGGGGGCUUGAGUAUGUUUGAGGCAGGCGGAAUGCGUGGUGUAGCGGUGAAAUGCAUAGAUAUCACGCAGAACCCCGAUUGCGAAGGCAGCCUGCCAAGCCCAUUACUGAACCUGAUGCACGAAAGCGUGGGGGAUCAAACAGGAUUUAGAUACCCUGGGUAGUCCACGCAGUAAACGAUGAUCACUAGCUGUUUGCGAUACACUGUAAGCGGCACAGCGAAAGCGUUAAGUGAUCCACCUGGGGAGUACGCCGGCAACGGUGAAACUCAAAGGAAUUGACGGGGGCCCGCACAAGCGGAGGAACAUGUGGUUUAAUUCGAUGAUACGCGAGGAACCUUACCCGGGUUUGAACGCAUUCGGACCGAGGUGGAAACACCUUUUCUAGCAAUAGCCGUUUGCGAGGUGCUGCAUGGUUGUCGUCAGCUCGUGCCGUGAGGUGUCGGCUUAAGUGCCAUAACGAGCGCAACCCUUGCCACUAGUUACUAACAGGUAAAGCUGAGGACUCUGGUGGGACUGCCAGCGUAAGCUGCGAGGAAGGCGGGGAUGACGUCAAAUCAGCACGGCCCUUACAUCCGGGGCGACACACGUGUUACAAUGGCGUGGACAAAGGGAAGCCACCUGGCGACAGGGAGCGAAUCCCCAAACCACGUCUCAGUUCGGAUCGGAGUCUGCAACCCGACUCCGUGAAGCUGGAUUCGCUAGUAAUCGCGCAUCAGCCAUGGCGCGGUGAAUACGUUCCCGGGCCUUGUACACACCGCCCGUCAAGCCAUGGGAGCCGGGGGUACCUGAAGUCCGUAACCGCGAGGAUCGGCCUAGGGUAAAACUGGUGACUGGGGC
rnacentral:rRNA from 1 species